rnacentral:lncRNA from 1 species
AGUCAUUUGAGUCAUCUCGGAUUCAGGUUUGAGUCAUUAGGACUGUACAAAUGCCAAAGAACUGAUGUUUAUCUACCAAAUAGUCCCAAUCCCAAAAACAUAUGUGUAACCAACUCAUCUGGUUCGUUGUUAUUACAAAAAACAACCUAAAACGACAGCACCCCCAACCAAAUCCAUAUUAGACGACAAAGUUUAGGGUUGGCUGCCUCAGCUCUUUCCUUGGCUUUUUGAUAGAAAAGCCGACAAGCAUCCAUGAUUAGAAUCCGUAGCCGUAGCCAAUGCCACAAAAGCUGCUGCAUCCUCCCUGCAUGUCACGUGGUGCAACCCUACUUAUUUCCACUUCCGGUUUGGGCUGUUGCUGGUUUUUUGUGAUUGAAUAAAAGGGAUUGUUGGCAUUUGGUGAGGGAAGUGUCUUGAGCUUGAUCUUACAAUAACAUGGACAAGUAGAAGAAAGUGAGGACCUUGAAAUUUCAGGGCCGAAUGGACCCAUUGUUUUUUCUUUUUAUUUUUCCUAGUUUUGGUGGGAGAGUUUAGCUUCCAAUAUCAACUUGUGAGUUACUAACUGUCCAGGUUACUGUCUAAGUUCAUCCAAAAUUUGGAAGAGUUUGAACAAAAAUAUUAAAUUUGGAAAAUGGACUUGGGCAAAGACAAUAAUGGGUUGGGCAAUGGGAGUUGAUUGUUAAGCCAUCAUCAUAUUGAAUACAACCAACGAGUAAUACAAUGAAGACGACAAGUUGUUUCUAUGCUACACCUUUGUCGUUUACAGACCACUUCCGUCUCUUUCUCCUUUCAGAUUCGGUUUUUGUAACAAUCUUCAUGUGAGGAUUCAUAAUUUUUUUUGCUCUAAGACCAUGUCAUAGAGCUCUCAACACACCACACGUAUUGCUUGAUAUAUUUAAUUGUUACAAUGUCAAUGUGCCUUGGAAUCGUGGGUUGUCGACCAACCCCGCAACUCAUCUGGUUUAUAACUCUGACCACACAAAGUAUCGGUUCGAGCCGAAACUCAUCUCUUAAUCUAGUGGUAUUGGAUGAAUUUUUCAUAGGUUUGAAUCAUAAUUGUGAUGUGUAAUUUAGAAAAUCGAGUUAAAAGUGUGUAAAUUAAUUGUAAAAUUACCUAAAAUAAUAAUAAUUUUAUCAUGAUUCAUAAUUUAUAAAAAAAAACAUAAAAUAAAAAUUGAAAACCAAGAUGAUAGUAAUCUAAUUGUUUAAGUUUACUAAGUAAGCAAAUAAUAUUUUCAUGUGCCGAUUGAGUCUUAGUUUGAUUGGUAUGGACAUUAUGUAGGGGGACGUAGCUGCACUAAAACACAUUAUUCUCCUAUUUAUGAGUUGGGGAAGGGCCAUGGGUAGUUCUAAACAUUGUGUCAAAAAAAAAAAUAGAUACGAUCCGAACCUCUAAUGUGCUUGUUCAAAACAAAUAUUUUCACGGAUAAGCGUGAUUUAGAUAAUAAAAACUUUAAAAUGUUUCCAAAUAAAAUAAUUUUAUUAUUAUAUUUGAAAAAGGAAAAUACAUCAUUAAAAAUAAGGACUGAUUUUUUGUAUCAACAUAUUGACAUUAAAUCUUUUGUGCAUCUAAAGAUUUCUUAAGAAAUAUAAGAAAAAAACAAUACAAAUCAUAUAAAAUUUCUCUUAUUCAAUGCAAAAUCACUUUUAAGAUUCUCUGAAAUAUAUUAUUGAGCAAUAUUAAUACCGAAAUUAUCAACUUUAUGAUAAAAAUAUGAAUAAAUAAAUAAAAUUAUACAAAAUUACGGGUGGGUUUAGAUGGACGGUUGGGUGCGUGCAUUAGGUGCUGUACAUUUAGCUUACUUUUUGACCCAUACUAUAAUAUCUAAUCUUACAACCACCGUUAUUUUUACACUAAUCGCAGGUAAACUCACCACCCGUCUAAACCUACCCUAUACAAACAAAGAUGUAAAGCUACAAAAUAAUGCAGUUAAAGGUAUAAAAAAAACUAGCUUCAUUUAUAUAUGAUCAUAUAUAGAUCUAUAUUGUUCAUAAAAUAAUUAAAAACUAAGCAGAUUAAGUUUAUAACGUAAAAUAAUAGCCACAGACAUACCUUCAAUGAUGAAUAGAGAAUAUUUAAUAAUCCAAGUCAUGACCAUGACCAAAAUUAAAACCUUCAACACCUAGAUUGAAAUCCCCGUACCCGCCGGUGUCUCCGACGGCAAAGCCACUGUUUUGGACGGCGAAACCGUUGCCCAAACCAUCAGGAUUAGCCACCGUCAUGGCAGUCGACAUGGCAAAAACAUCUCCCAUCAAUGUACUAGCCCUAUUAGCCACAUUAUUCCUUAACUCCUCCAAGGCUUUAGCAUAUGCUUCAAGUUCCUCAAUUCCCAUAUUAUUAUCAAUAGGGUCAUCCCACCAAAACAGUCCCUUCAUUUUUCUCUCUUCCUUUUCCUUUUGGAUCUCCUUGCUUCUCUUUUUUUCUUCCUCAAGUUUCUCCAAUGUCUCUCGGCUCUCCUCGUUGAACUCUUCGAGACAUGGAGCAAUGUCGUCACCAGACAUCAUCAAACCAUCAGCAUGGUUAGGGUUUUUGCUAAGGUAACGCUCCAAUAUCAUGUCGAUAUCGGGGUGACCAAAGCAAAACGGCUUUCCUUUGGGAGAGAACACGAUGAUGCCGAUGUUGCAACCGCAUAAAAUGCAAAGCUCGCUCGCUUUCUUGAACAAACCAUUGCGGCGCUUGGAGAAAGUCACUUGGCGGCUGCUUUCGUUUUCGAGUUUCUUUAUCUGAAUCUUUUGGCGACCCCUCGUUGCCUUAGUGGUGGUGUUGCUGCUUCUGGUUUGAUUUAGAGAUGCCAUUGUUAUAUCCUACGUAUGUCUUAGAAAAAAAAUGGUAUUCUUCUGAAAGGAAGAAAAUGUAUAAGAUUAUAUCCAAAUUAAAGCAAUUAUAUAUAUGGUAAGUUGAAUUUUUAGGAGAAUCGGUCCAAAUUUUCAACUUAGUAUUAAAUAAUAUCCUAAAAUUAUUAUCUCAAUAUUCUCUUUUCAAACUAUAUAAGUAAGGUUAAUAAUAUCAAUUAGUAUAAUGAUCAUAUUUUGUUCACUUUUUCUUCUUUAAAUGUUACUCAAAAAUAUCAAAUUAAUUUUUACUUGGGGCGGGUGCUGUGUGUUUAGCAGUCAAAUGAAUUGGUUCUUUCUUUUUUUUUCUCAGCAACCAAACAAGCUAAGAAAUCUGAAAGGAAAGUGAAAAAGAUAUAACCUUGAACUGAAACUAGUGUUUGGCUUUUGAGUCAAAGCAGUCAAAUGAAAUUACUCAAAUUCACCCUGGGGCACGUCAUAUAACACCCAUUACUCUGUUUUGUACCUUCAAGCUAGAUCUCGCAUGUGUUUUUCCCUUGGGGUUAGCCGCUUAGCUCAUUUAAGCAGGGUUUAAUGGUUAACAAAGACCUCCAUGGCAGCAACAGAGAAGCUUUCAUCUCUUUUCCCUUUGUUGUCGCUCAUUUGCUUCAUCUCUUUCUUUCUUCUUCUCUCUAUUUCCAGAAAAGCCUCCAUUUCCUCCUCCACAACUCAUCCCCAAUUCCUCCGUUUUAAACCCAUCGACGCCAAUCUCACCACCCGAUCAGACCCAUCUGCAACCGGCGAUUCUUCAUGCGGUUACUCCGAUGGGUCAUGGGUUUACGACCCAAAUGCGGGAUUUGAUCGAUACGACAGUAGCUGCAAGGAGAUAUUCAAAGGAUGGAAUUGCAUUUUGAACAACAAAUCCAACGGUAGAGACAUCAUUAAGUGGCGAUGGAAGCCUCGUAACUGUGAUCUCCCACCGUUCGAUCCCCUCCAGUUUCUUCCCACUUACAGAGAUACCAACAUUGGUACUUACCCAUCUCUCUGUCUCAAAGUUAGUUAAUUUAAAGCAAAUUAGGCCUUAAUCAAUAUUCAACAGUGCAGGGUUUAUUGGUGAUUCCUUAAACAGAAACAUGUUUGUAUCUUUGUUUUGUACUUUGAAACGUGUGUCCAAUGAUGUGAAGAAAUGGCGUCCUGCUGGAGCUGAUCGUGGCUUUACUUUCCUUCACUAUAAUCUCACCAUUGCUUAUCAUAGAACUAAUCUUUUGGCACGCUAUGGUAGGUAAGCUGCUUUGAAUCAUUUAGAUAAAUUCCAAUUUAGUUUCUUUUUGUUUGUAUUUCGUGGUAGGAACUGUAUUGUUCUUGAUUGUGUUUAAUGCAGAUGAUCAGCUAAUGGAAAUGGUGGUAAGUUAGAAGCUCUUGGAUAUAAAGAAGGUUAUAGAGUUGAUGUUGAUGUUCCAGAGAGCACAUGGGAAAAGGCUCCAAGCUUCCAUGAUAUACUAAUCUUUAACACAGGACACUGGUUAGCCUUUUUCCCACUUCCAUUAAAAUGUUGUAGAUCUUUUGGUGCCAAUAAUAUUAUGGUACCAUACCUUUUUGCACUAUUUUGUUGUUUUUAGCAUUUGGAUCCGGUUUUCAUGGUAGAUGAAAAUGACCAGAAGUAGAUUUUAAUGACAUGAAAACAAACUGUCAAAGUUGGACGCAUUUUCAAAUUAUGUGCAAAUAUCAAACUUUUUGGCUCAAGCUGUGUAACUUGUGGUUGUGUUAUAAUAUUAUGUUGGUUGCUUCUUUUGUUGCCAAUAGUAUGGUAGAAUUCCUUUAUGUUCUUGUUUGUUGUUCCUAAGUUGUUUUCUAGCAUUUAUAUCCUUUUUUCAUGUGUUGAACGAAAAUGACCAAAAGAUGAUUUUAAUGGUGGUUUUUGAGUUAUAUGCAAUCAUCAAAGCUUUUUGACUGAAGCUAUGUAAGUUGAGGUUGUUUUAUAAUAUUAUGUUGAUUGCUUGUUGAGGUAUUUUGGUGCCAAUAGUAUGGUAGCAUACCUUUAUGUUAUUGUUUGUUGUUCCUAAAUUGUUUUUUAGCAUUUCAAUCCCAUUUUCAUGUUGAAUGAGAACAACCAAAAGUUUAUUUUAAUGUGGUUUUUGAGUUAUACGCAAUCAUCAAAGCUUUUUGGCUCAAGCUGUGGGACUUGUGGUUGUUUGUUGAGAAAUUCUUGGUGCCAAUAGUAUGGUAGCACACCUUUAUGUUCUUGUUUGUUGUUCCCAAGUUGGUUUUUAGCAUUUCAGUCCUAUUUUCAUGUAAAAUGAAAAUAACCAAAAGUGCAUCUCAACGACAUGACAAAUUGCCAUGGUUGGAUGUGGUUUUCAAGUUAUAUGCAAUCAUCAAAGCUUGUUUGGCUCAAGCUGUGUAACUUGAGGUUGUCUUAUAAUAUUAUGUCGGUCGUUUCUUGAGAUCCUUUGGUGCCAAUAGCAUGGUAGCAUGCAUGCCUUUAUGUUCUUGUUUGUUGUUCCUAAGUUGUUUUUUACAAUUUUGAUCCUAUUUCAUGUUCAAUGAAAACGACCAAAAGUUUGUUUUAAUGUGGUUUUUGAGUUAUAAGCAAUCACCAAAGCUUUUUGGCUCAAGCUGUGUAACUUGUGGUUGUUUUAUAAUAUUAUGUUGAUUGCUAGUUGAGGUCUUUUGGUGGCAAUGGUAUGUUUUUUAGCAUUUCGAUCCUAUUUUCAUGUUGAAUGAAAACGACCAGAAGUGUUGGAUGUGUUUUUCGAGUUAUAUGCCCUUAUCAAAUCUUUUUGGCUCAAGCUGUGUAAUUUCUGGUUGUUUUGUAAUAUUAUGUUGGUUGUUUGUUGAGAUCUUUUGGUGCCAAUAGCCUGGUAGCAUGCAUGCCUCUAUGUUCUUAUUUUUUGUUCCUAAGUUGUUUUCUAGCAUUUUGAUCCUAUUUCCAUGUUGAAUGAAUUGGCCAAAAGUGGAUUUUAAUGACAUGACAAAUUGCCGUUGUUGGAUGUGGUUUUCGAGCUAUAUGCAACCAUCAAAGCUUUUUGUCUCAAGCUAUCUAACUUGUGUUAUAUAUUUAAGUUGGUCCCUGGCCACAAUUUCUUGUUAUUCUAGUCCAUAUAUUUCCAUUGCUGUAAUCAUAGAUUUCCUGACAUAGAUUAACCAUUUUGAUUGUUCUUUAAUAGGUGGUGGGCUCCUUCGAAAUUUGACCCAGUUAAGUCACCCUUGCUUUUCUUUGAAAAGGGUCUACCUGUAAUCCCUCCCAUACCUCCUGAUCUUGGCUUGGAUAAGGUUUUAAAUCACGUGGUAUGUUAUUGCAAAUGGUGUUUGCUACUAUUGUUUUUACAACGCUCAGCUUACCUUCUUAGUUCUUACUGAUCAUCAAUUGGCAGAUACGGUUUGUGGAGAAAACCAUGCGACCGGAUGCAAUUAAAUUGUUUCGCACGCAAUCACCAAGGCAUUUUGAAGGUGGUGAUUGGGACCAAGGUGGUUCUUGUCAGCGGUUACAGCCUUUGUUACCCGAACAAGUUAGUAUCUUUCAUUUGGCCAAAAAAUUGUUCAUCUGUUGGUUUGUGUCCACUCCGGACCAAGGCUGAAUUGAUUAUAUCCGUUUUCAGGUGGAAAAUCUCUUCUCGUUGAAAAACAACGGGACAAAUGUGGAGACAAGGCUUGUGAAUCAGCACAUAUACAACGCCCUCAAGGGGUCUAACGUCCACAUCUUAGAUAUUACCCGCAUGAGUGAGUUCAGAGCUGAUGCUCACCCUUCCACAGCCGGAGGAAAGAAACACGAUGACUGCAUGCAUUGGUGCUUGCCGGGAGUUACAGAUACAUGGAACGACCUGUUUGUAACACAUUUAAACAGUCUUAAAAUUUGAAACUGAUUGUAUUAUUACUAAACAUAUUUUUGUUCGGUACAUUUUCGGUUAGGAUCGGUUUGGAAUUCAAGUCAUUUGAGUCAUCUCGGAUUCAGGUUUGAGUCAUUAGGACUGUACAAAUGCCAAAGAACUGAUGUUUAUCUACCAAAUAGUCCCAAUCCCAAAAACAUGUGUAACCAACUCAUCGGGUUCGUUGUUAUUACAAAAAACAACCUAAAACGACAGCACCCCCAACCAAAUCCAUAUUAGACGACAAAGUUUAGGGUUGGCUGCCUCAGCUCUUUCCUUGGCUUUUUGAUAGAAAAGCCGACAAGCAUCCAUGAUUAGAAUCCGUAGCCGUAGCCAAUGCCACAAAAGCUGCUGCAUCCUCCCUGCAUGUCACGUGGUGCAACCCUACUUAUUUCCACUUCCGGUUUGGGCUGUUGCUGGUUUUUUGUGAUUGAAUAAAAGGGAUUGUUGGCAUUUGGUGAGGGAAGUGUCUUGAGCUUGAUCUUACAAUAACAUGGACAAGUAGAAGAAAGUGAGGACCUUGAAAUUUCAGGGCCGAAUGGACCCAUUGUUUUUUCUUUUUAUUUUUCCUAGUUUUGGUGGGAGAGUUUAGCUUCCAAUAUCAACUUGUGAGUUACUAACUGUCCAGGUUACUGUCUAAGUUCAUCCAAAAUUUGGAAGAGUUUGAACAAAAAUAUUAAAUUUGGAAAAUGGACUUGGGCAAAGACAAUAAUGGGUUGGGCAAUGGGAGUUGAUUGUUAAGCCAUCAUCAUAUUGAAUACAACCAACGAGUAAUACAAUGAAGACGACAAGUUGUUUCUAUGCUACACCUUUGUCGUUUACAGACCACUUCCGUCUCUUUCUCCUUUCAGA